GGAGAGGAAAGNGGAAUUCCUAGUGUAGCGGUGAAAUGCGUAGAUAUUAGGAAGAACACCAGUGGNGAAGGCGACUUUCUGGACGAAAACUGACGCUGAGGCGCGAAAGCCAGGGGAGCGAACGGGAUUAGAUACCCCGGUAGUCCUGGCCGUAAACGAUGGGUACUAGGUGUAGGAGGUAUCGACCCNUUCUGUGCCGGAGUUAACGCAAUAAGUACCCCGCCUGGGGAGUACGACCGCAAGGUUGAAACUCAAAGGAAUUGACGGGGGCCCGCACAAGCGGUGGAGUAUGUGGUUUAAUUCGACGCAACGCGAAGAACCUUACCAGGUCUUGACAUUGAUGGACAGAACUAGAGAUAGUUCCUCUUCUUCGGAAGCCAGAAAACAGGUGGUGCACGGUUGUCGUCAGCUCGUGUCGUGAGAUGUUGGGUUAANNNNNNCAACGAGCGCAACCCCUAUCUUAUGUUGCCAGCACGUAAUGGUGGGAACUCAUGAGAGACUGCCGCAGACAAUGCGGAGGAAGGCGGGGAUGACGUCAAAUCAUCAUGCCCCUUAUGACCUGGGCUACACACGUACUACAAUGGGGGUUAAUAGACGGAAGCGAGAUCGCGAGAUGGAGCAAACCCGAGAAACACUCUCUCAGUUCGGAUCGUAGGCUGCAACUCGCCUACGUGAAGUCGGAAUCGCUAGUAAUCGCAGGUCAGCAUACUGCGGUGAAUACGUUCCCGGGCCU
rnacentral:rRNA from 1 species